ACAUUAAAUAGAACGACAAGAUAAUCAAUUACAAGGUCUUGGAAACAAACCAACACACAAACCCAGAGGUGAUUUUACAAAUACACCUGUAGCAAGCUGGACAAAUGCCAGAGUUAAAUAACAACAGAAUAGUUAAGGAAACGCUUUGAAUGGAGGAUGGCUGUUCACAGAACCAGAUCACAGAACACACCAGAGUUCUCUAAUAUGAACACUGUGAUAUAUUUAUACAAUAGAAUGUUACAUAACAAAGAAAACAAAUGAACUACGUAGCAUGGGACAACAUGGAGGAAGCUUGAGCAUAUACAAUUAAAUUAAAAAUUAAGUCACCAAAAGAUGGCUUUUUAUUAAUAUAAUAAUAUUUAAAACCUCAUGUAUUUUUCAAGAUUACACAUAGAUACAGGAACCAGGAAGAAGAACUUGAUAACAGGACCUUGCAUAAUUAAUCGAUUGAUCACUGAACUUCAUUGUCAUAUUUCUACGGUCAAAUUUUGGGAGAAAGCUGUCGCAAAUUCAUCAGAGUGUAGCAAUGCCCGAGUUGUA
rnacentral:lncRNA from 1 species